rnacentral:rRNA from 1 species
GCUUGUCUCAAAGAUUAAGCCAUGCAUGUUCAAGUAUAGCAAGUGUACAGUGAAACUGCGAAUGGCUCAUUAAAUCAGUUAUAAUUUAUUUGAUAGUGAAAUUGUACAUGGAUAACCGUGGCAAUUCUAGGGCUAAUACAUGCGCCCAAACCCGACUCCGUGGAAGGGUUGUGUUUAUUAGUUACAGAACCAACCCAGGCUCUGCCUGGUCUUGUGGUGAUUCAUAAUAACCGAAUGAAUCGCAUUGCAUCAGCUGGCGAUGAAUCAUUCAAGUUUCUGACCUAUCAGCUUUCGACGGUAGGGUAUGGGCCUACCGUGGCAAUGACGGGUAACGGAGAAUUAGGGUUCGAUUCCGGAGAGGGAGCCUGAGAAACGGCUACCACAUCUAAGGAAGGCAGCAGG